UGCUGCGAUUCAUGGGGUCGCAAAGAGUCGGACUCGACUGAGCAACUGAAAUGAACUGAACUGAACUGAACUAAAUUUAUGUUUUAUUUCUGAAUGAGUAUCAAAAACUCCAAAAGAUCAGCAGACCCUGAAAUAAACUGAAAUGAAUACUAAAAGAUAGAUUCUUGCACAACGUGUUUUUGUUAUUCUAGUGCUGUCAUCCUUAUUUCCUGCUAUUUAGCAAAGUUAAAAAGAAAAUAGAGGAGCAUGUGAACCUUCAUCAUUAGGAAGUUUAGGAUAAGCAACAAAAAUGGAAAUUUUGCUAAAUAGUAUUAGAGUGAAAAAUUUUAAUUCAUGUAUGUUUUCAAAUUAACUUUUUAAAAAUAUAUGUUGCUACUUUUUACUUUCCUGAAGCCUUUGAAGAACUUUGGAAGUACAAGUAUUAACAGAGAUGAUAUUAAGUAGCAGGAGAAGUUCUCAUUCUUGAACUCCUGGAAGGAGGCAUCUCAGAUGCAGAGGCAGUUUGGGUAUUAACUUCCCAUGCCCUCUUAAGCACUCCUUUCCUAAGAAAGGGCCAACAACUGUGGGGAGUGUCUUGCUUUCCAAAGACCUUUCUUUCUAUAUUUAUUUGCUUGCCCUUGCAUCAUUUUCUCCAUCAUUUACCUGCCCAAUAAAGGAUGGACAAGAAAUGGCAAAACAGUUGAAAGCCAAUCAAAUCAUUCCGGAAAAAUUGUUAACAGACCUGGAAUAAGAUUAGCCAAGAAACAUUUAGCUAAAAUAAGGUUUGGGGGGAAAUCUGUAGAUCUCAUUUAGAUUGUGUUUAUGUGACAACAAAGCAUCCGGUCAAUAUAGUAGAAAGUGGGCAAAUUGUUUAUGCAGUUGUGUUGACAAAACCACCAGUCAGUCCAAUGACUGCAUUUUCAAAUUUAUGGAUUCUAGCUUUUGUACAUACUGCCCAACCCAUGAUCGUGAAUAUUUGAUAGUUGCAUAAAUUAAUUUUUGGUAGAUUAACAGUUUAUGUCUGAAUCUUCAGGUAUUUUUGUUGGUUUGUUGCAUUGUUGCAUCUUUUUUGGAGCUAUAUGAUUGGUAGUACUGGAAACAGUGAAUUUUAACUUUAUUUAGUUAGGUUUAUGGAAGAAUUGUUUAAAAGAGUUUCUUCCUAACUACUUUUUUAGUGCACUUUUUAAAAGCACUACUUAAGAUGAAAUGUUCAUGUCACAGUACAAAUUUUAUUAAAUUACUGUUAUUCAUAAGUUCUCCCCCAAUGUUGCAGUGGUAUUGAU
rnacentral:lncRNA from 1 species